UUUUUUAUGGAGAGUUUGAUCCUGGCUCAGGACGAACGCUGGCGGCGUGCUUAACACAUGCAAGUCGAACGGAAAGGCCUCAGCUUGCUGGGGUACUCGAGUGGCGAACGGGUGAGUAACACGUGGGUGAUCUGCCUCGUACUUCGGGAUAAGCCUGGGAAACUGGGUCUAAUACUGGAUAGGACCAUGCUUUAGUGUGUGUGGUGGAAAGUUUUUUCGGUACGAGAUGAGCCCGCGGCCUAUCAGCUUGUUGGUGGGGUAAUGGCCUACCAAGGCGUCGACGGGUAGCCGGCCUGAGAGGGUGGACGGCCACAUUGGGACUGAGAUACGGCCCAGACUCCUACGGGAGGCAGCAGUGGGGAAUAUUGCACAAUGGGCGCAAGCCUGAUGCAGCGACGCCGCGUGGGGGAUGACGGCCUUCGGGUUGUAAACCUCUUUCGCUAGGGACGAAGCUUUUUGUGACGGUACCUAGAUAAGAAGCACCGGCUAACUACGUGCCAGCAGCCGCGGUAAUACGUAGGGUGCGAGCGUUGUCCGGAAUUACUGGGCGUAAAGAGCUCGUAGGUGGUUUGUCGCGUCGUCUGUGAAAUUCCGGGGCUUAACUUCGGGCGUGCAGGCGAUACGGGCAUAACUUGAGUGCUGUAGGGGAGACUGGAAUUCCUGGUGUAGCGGUGGAAUGCGCAGAUAUCAGGAGGAACACCGAUGGCGAAGGCAGGUCUCUGGGCAGUAACUGACGCUGAGGAGCGAAAGCAUGGGGAGCGAACAGGAUUAGAUACCCUGGUAGUCCAUGCCGUAAACGGUGGGCGCUAGGUGUAGGGGUCUUCCACGACUUCUGUGCCGUAGCUAACGCAUUAAGCGCCCCGCCUGGGGAGUACGGCCGCAAGGCUAAAACUCAAAGGAAUUGACGGGGGCCCGCACAAGCGGCGGAGCAUGUGGAUUAAUUCGAUGCAACGCGAAGAACCUUACCUGGGCUUGACAUAUGCAGGAUCGGCGUAGAGAUACGUUUUCCCUUGUGGUCUGUAUACAGGUGGUGCAUGGUUGUCGUCAGCUCGUGUCGUGAGAUGUUGGGUUAAGUCCCGCAACGAGCGCAACCCUUGUCUUAUGUUGCCAGCACGUGAUGGUGGGGACUCAUGAGAGACUGCCGGGGUUAACUCGGAGGAAGGUGGGGAUGACGUCAAAUCAUCAUGCCCCUUAUGUCCAGGGCUUCACACAUGCUACAAUGGUCGGUACAACGCGCUGCGAGCCUGUGAGGGUGAGCGAAUCGCUGAAAGCCGGCCUCAGUUCGGAUUGGGGUCUGCAACUCGACCCCAUGAAGUCGGAGUCGCUAGUAAUCGCAGAUCAGCAACGCUGCGGUGAAUACGUUCCCGGGCCUUGUACACACCGCCCGUCACGUCAUGAAAGUUGGUAACACCCGAAGCCAGUGGCCUAACCUUUGUGGGAGGAGCUGUCGAAGGUGGGAUCGGCGAUUGGGACGAAGUCGUAACAAGGUAGCCGUACCGGAAGGUGCGGCUGGAUCACCUCCUUUCUAAGGAG
rnacentral:rRNA from 1 species